AUUGAACGCUGGCGGCAUGCCUUACACAUGCAAGUCGAACGGCAGCGGACCUUCGAGUGCCGGCGAGUGGCGAACGGGUGAGUAAUGCAUCGGAACGUGCCCUGUAGUGGGGGAUAACUAGUCGAAAGAUCAGCUAAUACCGCAUACGACCUGAGGGUGAAAGUGGGGGACCGCAAGGCCUCAUGCUAUAGGAGCGGCCGAUGUCUGAUUAGCUAGUUGGUGGGGUAAAGGCCUACCAAGGCGACGAUCAGUAGCUGGUCUGAGAGGACGAUCAGCCACACUGGGACUGAGACACGGCCCAGACUCCUACGGGAGGCAGCAGUGGGGAAUUUUGGACAAUGGGCGAAAGCCUGAUCCAGCAAUGCCGCGUGUGUGAAGAAGGCCUUCGGGUUGUAAAGCACUUUUGUCCGGAAAGAAAUGGCUCUGGUUAAUACCUGGGGUCGAUGACGGUACCGGAAGAAUAAGGACCGGCUAACUACGUGCCAGCCGCCGCAGUAAUAC
rnacentral:rRNA from 1 species